AGAGUUUGAUCAUGGCUCAGAACGUACGCUGGCGGCACGCCUAACACAUGCAAGUCGAACGAAGUAGCAAUACUUAGUGGCAGACGGGUGAGUAACAUGUAGGUAUCUGCCCUUUGGCCUGGAAUAACACGAGGAAACUUGUGCUAAUACCGGAUAAGUCUUUACGGAGAAAGCUUUAUGCACCAUUGGAUGAGCCUGCACUUGAUUAGUUUGUUGGUGGGGUAAUGGCCUACCAAGACUGUGAUCAAUAGCUGAUUUGAGAGGAUGAUCAGCCACAUUGGGACUGAGACACGGCCCAAACUCCUACGGGAGGCAGCAGUGGGGAAUCUUGCACAAUGGAGGAAACUCUGAUGCAGCGAUGCCGCGUGAGUGAAGAAGGCCUUUGGGUUGUAAAGCUCUUUCGUCGGGGAAGAAAAUGACUGUACCCGAAUAAGAAGGUCCGGCUAACUUCGUGCCAGCAGCCGCGGUAAUACGAAGGGACCUAGCGUAGUUCGGAAUUACUGGGCUUAAAGAGUUCGUAGGUGGUUGAAAAAGUUAGUGGUGAAAUCCCAGAGCUUAACUCUGGAACUGCCAUUAAAACUUUUCAGCUAGAGUAUGAUAGAGGAAAGCAGAAUUUCUAGUGUAGAGGUGAAAUUCGUAGAUAUUAGAAAGAAUACCAAUUGCGAAGGCAGCUUUCUGGAUCAUUACUGACACUGAGGAACGAAAGCAUGGGUAGCGAAGAGGAUUAGAUACCCUCGUAGUCCAUGCCGUAAACGAUGUGUGUUAGACGUUGGAAAUUUAUUUUCAGUGUCGCAGGGAAACCGAUAAACACACCGCCUGGGGAGUACGACCGCAAGGUUAAAACUCAAAUGAAUUGACGGGGACCCGCACAAGUAGUGGAGCAUGUGGUUUAAUUCGAAGAUACGCGCAGAACCUUACCAACACUUGACAUGUUCGUCGCGACUCUGAGAGAUUAGAGUUUUCGGUUCGGCCGGACGAAACACAGGUGCUGCAUGGCUGUCGUCAGCUCGUGUCGUGAGAUGUUGGGUUAAGUCCCGCAACGAGCGCAACCCUCACUUUUAGUUGCCAUCAUUAAGUUGGGCACUCUGAAAGAACUGCCAGUGAUAAGCUGGAGGAAGGUGGGGAUGACGUCAAGUCCUCAUGGCCCUUACGUGUUGGGCUACACACGUGCUACAAUGGUAUCUACAACAGGAAGCAAGACUGCGAAGUUAAGCAAAUCCCUAAAAGAUACCUCAGUUCGGAUUGCACUCUGCAACUCGAGUGCAUGAAGCUGGAAUUACUAGUAAUCGUGGAUCAGCGUGCCACGGUGAAUGCGUUCCCGGGUCUUGUACACACCGCCCGUCACACCAUGGGAGUUGGUUCUACCUUAAGGCAAGGUUUCAAACCCUUGACCACGGUAUAGUCAGCGACUGGGGUGAAGUCGUAACAAGGUAGCCGUAGGGGAACCUGCGGCUG
rnacentral:rRNA from 2 species